UACGAAGGGUGCAAGCGUUACUCGGAAUUACUGGGCGUAAAGCGUGCGUAGGCGGUUUGUUAAGUCUGAUGUGAAAGCCCUGGGCUCAACCUGGGAAUGGCAUUGGAUACCGGCAACCUAGAAUGUGGUAGAGGGUGGCGGAAUUCCCGGUGUAGCAGUGAAAUGCGUAGAUAUCGGGAGGAACAUCCGUGGCGAAGGCGGCCACCUGGACCAACAUUGACGCUGAGGCACGAAAGCGUGGGGAGCAAACAGG
rnacentral:rRNA from 1 species